CCUACGGGAGGCAGCAGUGGGGAAUAUUGGACAAUGGGGGCAACCCUGAUCCAGCCAUGCCGCGUGUGUGAAGAAGGCCCUCGGGUUGUAAAGCACUUUCAGUGAGGAAGAACGCCUGGUGGUUAAUACCCAUCAGGAAAGACAUCACUCACAGAAGAAGCACCGGCUAACUCCGUGCCAGCAGCCGCAGUAAUACGGAGGGUGCGAGCGUUAAUCGGAAUUACUGGGCGUAAAGCGCGCGUAGGUGGCUUGAUAAGCCGGUUGUGAAAGCCCCGGGCUCAACCUGGGAACGGCAUCCGGAACUGUCAAGCUAGAGUGCAGGAGAGGAAGGUAGAAUUCCCGGUGUAGCGGUGAAAUGCGUAGAGCUCGGGAGGAAUACCAGUGGCGAAGGCGGCCUUCUGGACUGACACUGACACUGAGGUGCGAAAGCGUGGGUAGCAAACAGGAUUAGAUACCCGAGUAGUC
rnacentral:rRNA from 1 species